rnacentral:piRNA from 1 species
UCCACGCCUUGAUAAUUUUUG